rnacentral:rRNA from 1 species
AUACGUAGGGUGCGAGCGUUAAUCGGAAUUACUGGGCGUAAAGCGUGCGCAGGCGGAUUGUUAAGCAAGACGUGAAAUCCCCGGGCUUAACCUGGGAAUGGCGUUUUGAACCGGCAGUCUAGAGUGUGUCAGAGGGGGGUAGAAUUCCACGUGUAGCAGUGAAAUGCGUAGAGAUGUGGAGGAAUACCAAUGGCGAAGGCAGCCCCCUGGGAUAACACUGACGCUCAUGUACGAAAGCGUGGGUAGC